rnacentral:tRNA from 1 species
GGACCGGUGGCGGAAUGGCAGACGCGCAAGGCUUAGGACCUUGUGCCCGUAAGGGUAUGCGAGUUCGACUCUCGCCCGGUCCA